rnacentral:lncRNA from 10 species
UUUUUUUUUUUUUUGAGACAUGAGUCUCACUCUGUCGCCUGGGCUGGAGUGCAAUGGCACAAUCUUGGCUCAAUGCAACCUCCGCCUCCUGGGUUCAAGCAGUUCUCCUGCCUCAGGCUCCGAGUAGCUGGGAUUACAGGCAUGUAUCACCACACCCAGCUAAUUUUUGUAUUUUUAAUAGAGACAGUGUUUCGCCAUGUUGGCCAGGCUGGUCUCAAACUCCUGACUUCAGGUGAUCUGCCAGCCUCGGCCUCCCAAAGUGCUGGGAUUACAGGCGUGAGCCUCUGCGUCUGGCCGAGCACUUAUUUUCAGUAGUAAACAUACAUUAAAAAAAAUUAAUCCUAAUUAACUUCAUUUAACAGGUUAGAGAUUUGAGAGGCCAAACUCCAGCAUCAAGCUGACAGCAUGUACCUCAGGUCACACUUUCCUCGAGCUUUGCCACUUGCCCUGUUCUAUACUAACUUGAGGCGAAAGACACAAACGAUCUAUAUGUAAGAGAUCAGUACUACUUAAGGAAAAUCAUGAAACAGUUAUUUAUAAAACUGUUUACAAGGUUUGUUUUUUCUAAUAUAAAAUCAAUUCUCUAUACCUGAAUGACAUACAUCUAAUUUGUGUGGGAAUCUGUCACCCAAAUUAGACUUCAUUCAGGCUCCUUUCUAGGGUUGGGUGAAUGAAUCGUGUUUAACACAAAAAGUCAUUUGGUACAAUUUUGUUAACUCUACCAAGAAUAAUCCCUUUCUUAUAUUUGAAUCCUCACAAUUCAUUUGUCAAAAUAAUACCAAAAGUAUCCCCGAAGAAGCAGUAGUAAGAUUCUUCUUGUUUUUGUUUUUUGUUUUUUUGAGACAGAGUCUCGCUCUGUAGCUCAGGCUGGAGUGCAGAGGCAUGAUCUCAGCUCACUGCAACCUCUGCCUCCUGGUUCAAGCAAUUCUCUUGCCUCAGCCUCCCAAGUAGCUGGGAUUACAGGUGUGUGCCACCAUGCCCGGCUAAUUUUUGUAUUUUUAAUAGAGACGGGUUUCACCAUGUUGGCCAGGCUGGUCUCGAAUUCCUGACCUCAAGUGAUCUGCCUCCUCAGCCUCCCAAAGUGUUGGGAUUACAGACAUUAGCGACCGCGCCCAGCCAGAUUGUUGUUUUGUUUGUUUUGAGACAGAGUCUCACUCUGUCACCCAGGCUGGAGUGCAGUGGUGCAAUCUUGGCUCACUGCAACUGCCUCCUGGGCUCAGGUGAUCUCCCACCUCAGCUCCCCAGCAGCUGGGACUACAGGCACCCACGACCAUACCCAGCUAAUUUUUGUAUUUUUUUGUAGAGAUGGGGUUUCACGAUGUCGCCCAGGCUGGUCUUGAACUCCUGGGCUUGAGCGAUCUUCCCAUCUUUCCAUCUUGGCCUCCUAAAGUGCUGGGACUGCAGGCAUGAGCCACCAUGCCCAGCCAAGAUUCUUAUUGAUUACCAUGUUGCUUCAAGAAGCCAAGCCAGUUUCCAAUAUUCCCCAUUUGCUGGAGUCUUGGUACUUUGGGUAGAAGCAACUGGUAAAUUGUUAAUUGGAACAGUUGGUGGUGUAGAUAACCACGUAUGGCCAAACCUAGAGCAUCUAGGCUCACAAUUACUAUCCUGACUUGAUAACAAGUGUUCUGAUAUUAACCUGAAAAUGGGAAUAAUGCCAAAUCUGUGUAACUUAACAUCUAUAUACACAGUGGGGAGAACUGAAGUUAUUAAACCUGGAAUCUCUGUGAUCAAGGCUAACAGUAGUUAUCUAAGAAGCAAAGGACCUACAAUUCUUAGACUUGGAGUCAUAUUCUUUAAGGACGUGUUCUGAAACUAUAUCAAGCAUCUGGUUUCCACGUAUUUCUCCCUCAGAAAUUAUGAAGUACAAGUAAAAAUGAAGGUACAGGGUAAGACACAUGCUGCUUUCUUGCUCUUGAGUGGAGACAGUUUUCCAGCCAUCUUAACCCCUUUACACAAAACAAUUUGUGUUUUAUAGCAAAUAAGUGACUCAACAUAAUUUCAAUAUGAUGUUUAUCCACCAGUACUUUCCUUUCAGCUUCUAGUCCCAUAAAUGGUUUGUGAAGUCAUCGGUUACAUUAGCCAAGAUAGGCCUAGACUUGAAGUCUAGAAUGUUUUUCCCACUAUAUGCCAAAGUAGAAUGUGGGUAUCUCAGGGUCAUUUUUGUUGUUCAAUUUCCCACCUGUACAGUUGUUAUGAUUCACUUUCCUUAUGUGUCUAAUAAAUCUUGUUCCAUGAAAUGAUCAAUUUCUUCUGAAAUCUAUCAAUAAGGUAAAUAUGCAGAUUAAGGAAGUAUUUAAAAUAUUU